UGGGGAAUAUUGGACAAUGGGGGCAACCCUGAUCCAGCCAUGCCGCGUGAGUGAUGAAGGCCUUCGGGUUGUAAAGCUCUUUUGGCGGGGACGAUGAUGACGGUACCCGCAGAAUAAGCCCCGGCUAACUUCGUGCCAGCAGCCGCGGUAAGACGAAGGGGGCUAGCGUUGUUCGGAAUUACUGGGCGUAAAGCGAGUGUAGGCGGUUGCCGUAGUCAGGUGUGAAAGCCUUGAGCUCAACUCAAGAAAUGCACUUGAUACUGGGUGACUAGAGGACCGGAGAGGAUAGUGGGAUUCCCAGUGUAGUGGUGAAAUACGUAGAGAUUGGGAAGAACACCAGUGGCGAAGGCGGCUAUCUGGACGGUUACUGACGCUAAGACUCGAAAGCGUGGGGAGCAAACAGGAUUAGAUACCCUGGUAGUCCACGCCGUAAACGAUGGGUGCUAGACGUUGGCGAGCUUGCUCGUCAGUGUCGCAGCUAACGCGUUAAGCACCCCGCCUGGGGAGUACGGCCGCAAGGUUGAAACUUAAAGGAAUUGACGGGGGUCAUAGCUGUUUCCU
rnacentral:rRNA from 1 species